rnacentral:rRNA from 1 species
ACAAUGGAGAGUUUGAUCCUGGCUCAGGAUGAACGCUAGCGGCAGGCUUAACACAUGCAAGUCGAGGGGCAGCACGAUG